rnacentral:rRNA from 1 species
UAUCUCUGUAGAGUCUGCAUAUCAAUAAGCGGAGGAAAAGAAACUAACUAGGAUUCCCUUAGUAACGGCGAGUGAAGCGGGAAGAGCUCAAAUUUGAAAUCUUCAAGGUUCUACCUUGACGAAUUGUAGUUUAAAGAAGUGUUUUCUGUUGGAGUUUUGGUAAAAGUUCUUUGGAAUAGGACAUCAUAGAGGGUGAGAAUCCCGUAUUUGACCAUUUCUUCCAGCUGUGUGAUACACUUUCAAAGAGUCGGAUUGUUUGGGAAUGCAGUCCAAAAUGGGUGGUAAAUUUCAUCUAAAGCUAAAUAUUGGCGAGAGACCGAUAGCGAACAAGUACCGUGAGGGAAAGAUGAAAAGAACUUUGAAAAGAGAGUUAAACAGUACGUGAAAUUGUCAAAAGGGAAGCGUUUGACACCAGUGUUGUUUUCUCGAAAAUCAAUUAAAAAUGGCCGGAUUUUGUGUUGCUAUUGACUUUAUCAGCUUUCUGCACUUUUUUCUUGUCCUUUGUUAAUGCACUUUUCGUUUAACAAGUCAACAUCAAUUUCCUUUGUUGUAAAAGAGUCAUUGGAAGGUGGCUUUCACUUCGGUGAAAGUGUUUAUAGCCUUUGACUUCUGCAAUCGGAGAGAUUGAGGUCUGCAGCGUAGAUCCUUCGGGGUUAGAUACAUUUGUGCUAAGUUAUAGUUUUUCAUAGACAACAUGUUGACUAUGAUUAAUCAUGUAGCUUACUCGCUUAUGCUAUUUUACCUACGCUUAGGAUGUUGAACGCGCACAGAGUCUC